UACGUAGGCUGCGAGCGUUGCUCGGAGUUACUGGGCGUAAAGCGUGUGUAGGCGGUGUCUUAAGUUUGCUGUGAAAUUUCCCGGCUUAACCGGGAGGGUGCGGCGAAUACUGAGAUGCUGGAGUGCCGGAGAGGUAAGCGGAAUUCCUGGUGUAGCGGUGAAAUGCGUAGAUAUCAGGAGGAACACCUACGGUGUAGACGGCUUACUGGACGGUAACUGACGCUGAGGCACGAAAGCGUGGGUAGCAAACAGG
rnacentral:rRNA from 1 species